rnacentral:rRNA from 1 species
UACGAAGGGGGCUAGCGUUGUUCGGAAUUACUGGGCGUAAAGCGCGCGUAGGCGGUAGUCCAUGUCAGAGGUGAAAUCCCGGAGCUCAACUCCGGAACUGCCUUUGAAACGGGACUGCUAGAAUCCGAGAGAGGAUGGCGGAAUUCCUAGUGUAGAGGUGAAAUUCGUAGAUAUUAGGAAGAACACCGGUGGCGAAGGCGGCCAUCUGGCUCGGUAUUGACGCUCAGGCGCGAAAGCGUGGGGAUCAAACAGG